rnacentral:rRNA from 1 species
CACGUAGUUAGCCGGUGCUUCUUGUGCUGGUACCGUCAUCCACACAGAGUAUUAGCCUGUGCAAUUUCUUCCCAGCCAAAAGAGCUUUACAACCCGAAGGCCUUCUUCACUCACGCGGCAUGGCUGGAUCAGGGUUUCCCCCAUUGUCCAAAAUUCCCCA